CGGCCGCGUCGACCGAUGCAACGCGAAAAACCUUACCCACCUUUGACAUGGCAGGAAGUUUCCAGAGAUGGAUUCGUGCUCGAAAGAGAACCUGCACACAGGUGCUGCAUGGCUGCCGUCAGCUCGUGUCGUGAGAUGUUGGGUUAAGUCCCGCAACGAGCGCAACCCUUGUCAUUAGUUGCUACAUUUAGUUGGGCACUCUAAUGAGACUGCCGGUGACAAACCGGAGGAAGGUGGGGAUGACGUCAAGUCCUCAUGGCCCUUAUAGGUGGGGCUACACACGUCAUACAGGCUGGUACAGAGGGUUGCCAACCCGGCGAGGGGGAGCUAAUCCCAUAAAACCAGUCGUAGUCCGGAUCGCAGUCUGCAACUCGACUGCGUGAAGUCGGAAUCGCUAGUAAUCGCGGAUCAGCAUGCCGCGGUGAACUACGUUCCCGGGUCUUGUACACACCGCCCGUCGACGCGGCCG
rnacentral:rRNA from 1 species